rnacentral:rRNA from 2 species
GGGUUGUGAGGUUAAGCGACUAAGCGUACACGGUGGAUGCCCUGGCAGUCAGAGGCGAUGAAGGGCGUGCUAAUCUGCGAUAAGCGCCGGUAAGGUGAUAUAAACCGUUAUAACCGGCGAUACCCGAAUGGGGAAACCCAGUGUGA